GCCAGUGUGACAUAGUGUUUUGAGCAUUGGACUGUGACUCUGGAGUCCAGGGUUCGAAUCUCAGCUCGGCCA